rnacentral:rRNA from 1 species
CCUACGGGUGGCAGCAGUAGGGAAUCUUUCACAAUGGGCGAAAGCCUGAUGGAGCAACGCCGCGUGCAGGAUGAAGGCCUUCGGGUUGUAAACUGCUUUUAUAAGCGAGAAAUAUGAUGGUAACUUAUGAAUAAGGAUCGGCUAACUACGUGCCAGCAGCCGCGGUCAUACGUAGGAUCCGAGCAUUAUCCGGAGUGACUGGGUGUAAAGAGUUGCGUAGGUGGCAUAAUAAGUAGCUAGUGAAAUCUGGUGGCUCAACCAUUCAGACUAUUAGCUAAAAUGUUAAGCUCGAGACCGUUAGGGGUAACUAGAAUUUCUAGUGUAGGAGUGAAAUCCGUAGAUAUUAGAAGGAACACCAAUAGCGUAGGCAGGUUGCUGGGACGGUUCUGACACUAAGGCACGAAAGCGUAGGGAGCAAACGGGAUUAGAUACCCGAGUAGUC